ACCCUCGGCCCCCCACGGCGGUUGGUCCCGGCGGGGGAAGGAGAAAGUGAGACUCGGUGUCAUCACCAAUCCGUCGCCAGAAGGGGAGGAAACUGGAAUCCAGCAGCGGCGAGCAGCAGCUGGGCGGUCACAUCUGGAAAUGGAAAGCCGACCUCCCCCUCCUCCUCCACCUCUUCCUCCUCCUCCUCCUCCUCCUCUCACCCAGGAUCACUUCCGAAACCACUUGGCCUUCAGCCCCUGCCUCGGCCAGAGGUUUCAUUUUUAACUGAAUAUUUACGAAAGCUGAAAGCGUGCGAGGGGGGUGGGGUGGAAAUAGCGGCUGCUUCUUUUCCAAGGAUUUAUUUAAUGGGGAUGUGUUCAAGGCAAGACCGAAUUCAGAAGGAUAUCGACGUCGUGAUCCAGAAGUCCAGAGCUGAGGACUGCCUGUUUGCAGGACAACUGUGCAGACUACAAAGCUUCGGAAAACCGGAGAGGCUGAGUCGACUAAUCGUGUUGUUGCACGUUAGAAACGCUUGCAUUGCCUGACUCUGAAACCAGAAGGGCGGCCGAAUGGCCUUCACCCUCCAUUAACCCUCGCCUCCUUCAGAAGCCAGUGCCUCUGGAAAUGCCUGGAUCUGCGACCCCAGCCUGAGCCUAGUAGGGCCCAAGGGAAGCUGAACGCCCCGACGGCUCUCAUGAAAUCACAGAGAUCAGCAACUCUAGAGUGCGAUGAAGAAGCUUCACUCUGGGAGAACCCCCUUCGUGACCACGGUCUCUUUCCUGCCAGGGCACCGGCAACAGUUUUCCGUUUGUGCCUACUCCACCUGCUGUCUUUGUUGGGUCAGCGAACAUCGCCUCCCUCUACCGCUCAAUCAGCAAAAGGGACCGCCCUUGAGGACCUCACCCGCGGCUCACUCCCCUCCCAACUUCGCGGGCAUCGCCUCCGGUCGCCUCUUCCGAAGGCCUAACGAGCAUGUUAGCUGCGAACGGAGGUGAGGAGGCUCCGCUGACUGACCGGUGCCCAUGUCCAGGGCACGCACAAACGCCAUGACUUGGCUUGGCCUCUCUCUUAGUUAUUCACAAGCUCAGCCCGAUAGGCACCUCUGGGGCGGCGACGGCAAAGAGGGUGCGCUUAUUAAGUGCAGCUCCACGGGGACUGGCCUCUGCACGGCUGUGUACACCUGAGCGAGACGCUCAGUCGCUCUCUAAAGCCGCUUCUGCGGAUGACAGACACGGAGAUAAACGUGAGAGGUGGCCCACCACGACUUGCCCUCCUUUGCCCGGGUUUGCCCCUCGCUGCGGAGGCUGUUCUACAUCUGGCCCUUGGAGCAGGCCGGCUGACAGCGUGGUAAAGGAAGAUUUCUGCGGGAGGGCGGCCAGUGCAAAACAAUUCCCUGACCGGGAAUCGAACCCGGGCCGUGGCGCUUUCAGCACCGAAUCCUAGCCACUAGACAACCAUGCAGAUGCGG
rnacentral:lncRNA from 1 species